rnacentral:rRNA from 1 species
UACGGAGGGUGCAAGCGUUAUCCGGAUUCACUGGGUUUAAAGGGAGCGCAGGCGGGCUGGUAAGUCAGUGGUGAAAGCCUUGAGCUUAACUCGAGAACUGCCAUUGAUACUAUCAGUCUUGAAUAUUGUUGAGGUUUGCGGAAUGGGUCAUGUAGCGGUGAAAUGCAUAGAUAUGACCCGGAACACCUAUUGCGAAGGCAGCUCGCUACACAUAUAUUGACUCUGAGGCACGAAAGCGUGGGGAUCAAACAGG